ensembl:lncRNA
CACACACACACACUCACACGCGCGCACACACACGUUACUUUAAUUUUAUAACCCGAGCACCCGAGGUAGCUCAUCUCGGUGGAUCUGUGAGGCACAUGUAGUGCAGAUGGUGUGUGUGGGGCGGAGGAGACGAGUGUGAGGUCUCACCUUGGGGGGAGGAGAUAUUAACUCUGGCAAAUUUUUACUGCCUGAAUUUCCCUUUUACAGCUAUUAACAUCUGCCAUCUGCACGGAAGCUGCGACCUCCCUCUCACAGAGCCCGUGUCAUAAAAGCUUCUCUGCUGAUUGUGGGAGACUGACAAGAGCGCAUCAAGGCUAAGAAAAAUUAAAGAAUUAAAGAAUUAAAAAGCUGCCAAUCCUGACACCAGUGUUCAAACAGGCGGAGAAUCAUUCAGACGGCUGAAUGAAACAGGGAAUCAUUCUAGGAACAAAUACGAGUGAGGCUUCAUGUUCUGUGUGUGUGCGUGUGUGUGUAUGUGUGUGUGUAUGCAUACAAAAUCAUUAGUUCAUACUAGUUCAUGACUAUACAUUUAGACUAUAUGUUUUACAAGACAUGAGUAAAAUAAUUUCCUGAAAUAUUUAUGUGGUAAACAACGGCUAAAUUGGUAGCUUUUUUUUUUGUACACUCAAUUGAUGGUAAAUUGAAAAAAACAACAACAACAACAACAUGAGACUCAAAAACGUGAUGAAUAAAUAAUUAACCCCACCUGGAUUCUGAUUUUGAUUAUACAGAUCAGUGUUUUUUGUUGACACUACAUUAUAUUCACAUUACGACAUUUGAAAAUGGAGACCAUUUCAGUUUUCCUGUACAAAACUGUUUUAGGGGCGGAGCUACACAUGUCUAAAUAAGGUUAAAGGAUGGUCAAAAGUGCAAAUUGUUAGAGGUGCAUCUUUAACUACAGAAGCAGCGAGUUUAGCCAGCUGACUAAUCUAAUAUUAGUAAUGAACAAAAUCGUGGUUGUCAUGGUAACAUUAUACAGUAAAGCUUUGUUAAAUAAAUAGCUGAAAAUCUGAUAAUUGUAAGGCAGUUAACUCACAGUUAACUAGCCGGCUAGCUAUUUGUAAUGGCAGGAAGGAUUUGGGGGAGUUUCCUAAUUUGCAUAUUCAUGCAUAUUUAUAGGGUCAGCCGUUUUUUUGGGGACAAUUUUGUAGAUUUUUAAUGGUUUAAUAUUACAUGUCUAGCAGUACUUUAAACAACGAUUUUUUCCUCCAAGGUGAACAUAGUCAUUAUUUCCGGGGAAAGGGAGCAGGGUGUUAGUUCGUCGCCGGUUCUCCAGGAGGACCACAGAUCAGUCAGAACAAACCCAGACUGACAGGGGCGUGAUGAGGGCCGCUGCCCUUUGGCUCUCCCCAUACCGGCCCACCGUUCAGCCAACACACACGGCCUAGAAUGCCUAGCAGCCAGCUACACGACAACAUCUGUUCAUUCGGAUGGCACCAGCAGGGUGCUGCCCGCUCCACAGCACGCCUGGCACACAGAACUUACAGAACAGACAGGUGGCUCGGCCAAUCAGCGGCUCUGAACCAGCUGAACCCGAGCUCAUGCUUUCUUCUCCUGCUCGGCUUCAGUGAACCGCAGCAAUCUCGUACUGUCUCCUGGCUCUCGCUAUGUGCCAUCUGGAUAAAGAGGAGGAGGGAUGAGGGGCGUGUCCUGCUCCUGGUGCCACCCCAUGCCCAUGAUUUUAUUUGUAUAGUAUUUUUAACAAUACACAAGAGAUAUACAGAUGUACAUUCACAUUUAGAUCGCUAAUGAGCUCGCCAGAAGAGAAAAUUCCCUGACGCAACAGGAGAAAAAAUCCCUGAGAGGACCCACACUCAAAAGAGAACGUGUCCGGUUGAGAUUAUAAAUCGUUACAGAAUACAGGUGUAGAAGAAUAAAGACAAACAUUACUAAGUGUACGGAAAGGAUGUUCAUUAUGAGCAUUAUGAGGACAGUCUUUAUGAUCACAACAAGUCUAGAGGUAUCCAAUAAAGCACUAAAAUAUUUUUUGGAAGGUACAGAUCUUUAGGGUAUUCAUUGGGAUGUUUCUGAUACAUCCAGGAUAGAGUUUAGUGCACUGUGCUCGAAAAGAACUAGCGAAGAAUGUUCAGCUCAAACAUCAAGCAGCUCAAUCAUUACAUUAGCCGGCACUGCUGGCACCCGGUGUACACCUAGAUGAUCCGUGAUCGCAUUAAGAUCCAGAAGUCAAAGGAGGUUCACUUCAUGUUUGACAUGGCAAACGUUGGAGUAGAGAUAUUUCUGUAAUCCAUAAUAAUUCAAUAGAAGCUAAAUUUACUUUCCCCCUCAGCAGGAACAUGCGAUUGCACCUCAUCUCCUCGCCGUGUUUGUUUGUAACACAGGGAAACUGAACGUAGCAUGGUGAGAAGAGACGUGGGAGAGCAGAGUACAAAAGCCAAUUAACAGCUCAUUAGUACCAAAGCAGUUCAAUCCAAUUAAACACUGCCUCUUUUGUUUGCUCCUGCUUCCUUUUUUUGUCGUUGGCCCCCAUGAUUUAACACUUUCAAGCUGUGGUUUUUUUUUUCCCAAGAUGAUUUUUCCUUUCCAUAUCACUUGUCAGCGGAGAAGACAAAUAGCGCGGGUGUUUGGCAAGUGUUUAUUUUCGUCUCGGGCAGCACAAGAGUUCAAUAGCAGUCACCUCGUCUUCUCGCCGAGCCCUGCAAGUGUGCCCGCAGUUGUCUGCUGCACUUAGCUUCCUCGUUAAUAUUACAGGCCUUCAGAGAGAUGCACUGCUGAGAGGAUCCGUAACCUCUGAACUGUUCCACCACACAGAAAACAAGCUCGCACACACACAGAGAGAGAGAGAGAGAGAGAGGCACAGCAAAGUACAGAAACGCAUGCAAAUAAAGACUCCUACACAGAAAAUUGUGCGCAUGCCUGAACGCAUGGAUCUUGUUAAGGCACAGCAUUGAACCGUCACUAAUUAUACUGCAGAAACAAUCAUGACAAACACAGUGGUCGAGAAAACUGUGGAAAAAAUAAGUAAAAAUAUAAAUAACACAAGGUUCAAAUUAUUGGGGAUACCAAAAAUCUGGUGAUAUUUAUGAGCAAUCCAGCCUACUAACUACUGAAGCCUUGAUAAUGUAACAGACAAAAAAUAAAUAAAUAAAUAAAAACCCAAGAAAAUCCUCUAAGAUAUAGCGUAUACACGAAUACACUAUUAUUAGUGAUUAAUAUCAGACAUCCUUCUCGGAUAAAACAUGAGCUCAUACCUGUUUUAUUUUCUCUUUAUGUCAGUGAAAUAGCUGUGAAAAUGAAUGAACAAUUAUGAAUAUUAUGUUAAAAAUCCUGUUUACAUUCAGCUCAUUUUAACUAGCUGGCUGGCUAGCUAGAGUUAAUAGUGAAGACUUUGAGUAUUCAUGAAUAUGACUUAAAAAUCCUGUCAGGUUAGCUCAUAUUAGCUAGCUGGCUAGUGUUUAGUACUACAGAUUUUGAGUUUUCAUGAAUAUGAUGUAAAAAAAAUCCUGUCAGGUUAGCUCAUAUUAGCUAGCUGGCUAGUGUUAACAGUGAAGAUUGUGAGUUUUUAUGAUGAUGAGAAAAAUGAUCAGGGAGCUCUCUGACUCUUUUAAUUAAGAUUUCAAUCCCCUCAGAAAAUACUGACUUCAGGUUAAGUCAUACUACAUAUUUGUUAUAAUGAACGCUAAAUGUUUUUGUUUUUUUCUAUUCACGUCUGAAAGUGCACAUGAAAAUGACCAUUUUAAUCUACUCCUACAACAGGCUAUACCAUUUCUUUACUGAUGACACUGCCUCAAGCUUCCUAAUUACUUAGGCUAGCUAGCUAGCCACAAGAUUGCAAACAUAACCCUUCAAAUGUCAUUAUUGUGAAUCAUCCUCCCUGAAAUUAACCUGUGAUGAUGUCAGGAGAAUUGUGAAAGUUAGAAAAAAAUAGUAAGAGCAAAUAAAAGGAUGAGGGUGGAAAAAAAGAGAAAUUGUUUGUCUCCUCACGCUAACUCAGUAACUGAGUCACCCGCUUUGUAACACCAACAGUGCAGCAAGGCCAACCUUGAUCUGAAGAAAAAUAGGAGAAUGCUGAGGGGUUAAGAAGGAGUGUGAGACCCAGAAAGAGGAAGGGGGGAGAAAAAGAGGGAAAAGAAAGAAGGAGAGAGGCUCCUUGCUGUGUUUGCGUUCCCCCCCACUGUCUGUGAGCAAUGCUGGUGGGUCAAUAAAGAACGCAGGGGGGUGAUGGGAAAAAAAGUGGAGUUAAAAAUGAAGUCUGGCAGAGGGGCGGGGCCACUCCUGGCGCGAGCUUGCUUCUACUGCAGGUGCAUGCUGUAGCUGCUGCCAAAGUGCCAACCUGCCCUCCAUAUGGCCGUCGCCGGCCUGCCAGCCAUCUCCCGCCACUUCCCACUGAGCCCAGCGCUGGCGCUCUACAUCUAAAUCUGUCCCAGUGCCCCAGGCCUCCCCCUGUUCCGUGCCCAGGCUUCGUGAGCCCACGCCAGGCCGGCGGGUCAGUCCUGGACUGCAGUGCCAACCGGCCAACAGACCAUCCUCUCCAUAUGGAGACUCGUAGCAUCGCAACUCAUCGUUCUCUCUCUCGUAUCCUCAUGAGUGGCAUCCAUCAGCCAUGAUCUACUCAUCUGUCUCUCUGUAUCUCUCCCCUUUCAGGCCAGAUCAAACACACACAGAGAAACAGAUUAGCUGUGGCAUAACAGCGAUUCAAUUAAAAUCCCUGAACCCUACCAAUAUUACCAAAUUCUCGAAUUACAGAGGAACCGACUGCUUUCAGGCUAUCCGUAUGAAGCUUUGGGGAUUGGCGUAGGGGCAAAGAAUCGCCUUUUUAUUAUCUACCUGUCUCUCUUCUCUUUGCACACUGGAUACCUGUGUACACUUCAAUGUGUGGGAUAUAACUACUUUUAACACGUUAUUUCUAUUUCCAGUCUGCUUGCACCACAUUGCUGACAGUAGCACUUCCUGGUUGCCCAUAAAUCCACAUAAACAGACCUAAAGCACUACAUCGUCCAAGACGAUAAAACAACACAGGAAUGUCACGCUCCCUCUUCCCUAUGUACUUUAUAGCUCCUCCUUUCUUCCAAUAAACAGAUAUUGAUUGAGCAAUAAUCCUCUCAGUCUCUGUCACCGCGUUUCACGAGCGUAAGCUAUUAGCCCAAUCACAUCGAGCUGCUGUUCUCCUUAAGCCUAGCUCAGAAAGAGUGAUCAGUUUGGUGGGGCUUAAAUUCACAACACCACACCACCAGAGACAGAUGGAGAGAAAGAGGAAAGAGGAGAGCAAGGAGAACUAGAGGGAAGCUCUGACCUCAAAGACACAUCUUUCAACCAAUCCUUUAACUCAUGUUAGCCAGCUAGUUAGUGUCGAAUAUGGGUAUUCAUUAAUAUGACCUGUCAUGUUAAAUCCUAUUAGCCAGCUACCUAAUAUUAGCGGGUAAUACAGUUCUUAAACAUUAACAAAACAACUUCAGAGGGUAGCUCAUAUAAGCUAUCUGGGUAAUAUUAGCAGUGAAGUUUACAAGUAUUCAUGAACAUGAUCUAAAAAUCCUGUCAGGUUAGCUAGCUUGGUAGCUUUAACUGCAAAUAUUUUAAAUAUUGUCUUAAAUAUCCUGUCA